UAUUGUGAUUGCAGAAAGAAGUGAAGUUCUUAAAACUCAUACAAUUUUAUCGUGCUGAGUAUGAUCCUAGUUAUCUGACUAAGGUUGAAGCUUCCAUGAAUUAAAGUUAGGAUUAACAGUUUGAUCGAUGAUUAUGAUUGUCAGAAUUACUACUUUUGAGUGAUGAUUACUAGAGUUUGAUUGUGUGUUGGUUUGGUUGUAAAUAUACAUUAGCUUUCUAUGAACAUAUAUUUCAUACAUUGUUGAUACUGGUUUGUUUGUUUUGUCCAAACUAAGAAGCACUGUUUAUAUUGUACAAAUUUGGUUGAAUUUUAAUUGUGCUGGUGCUGAUGAUUUUAUUGUUUAAUUGUCUGUGUAAUUAUUUUAUUGUUGAUACUGGUUUUGGUUGUCCAUAGGUAAGGAAGUUUAAUUAUUUUGUA
rnacentral:lncRNA from 1 species